rnacentral:rRNA from 1 species
CCUACGGGAGGCAGCAGUGAGGAAUAUUGGUCAAUGGGCGCGAGCCUGAACCAGCCAAGUCGCGUGAGGGAAGACGGUCCUAUGGAUUGUAAACCUCUUUUGUCGGGGAGCAAAAGACGCCACGCGUGGCGUUCCGAGAGUACCCGAAGAAAAAGCAUCGGCUAACUCCGUGCCAGCAGCCGCGGUAAUACGGAGGAUGCGAGCGUUAUCCGGAAUUAUUGGGUUUAAAGGGUGCGCAGGCGGAAGAUCAAGGCAGCGGUAAAAUUGAGAGGCUCAACCUCUUCGAGCCGUUGAAACUGGUUGUCUUGAGUGAGCGAGAGGUAUGCGGAAUGCGUGGUGUAGCGGUGAAAUGCAUAGAUAUCACGCAGAACUCCGAUUGCGAAGGCAGCAUACCGGCGCUCAACUGACGCUCAUGCACGAAAGUGUGGGUAUCGAACAGGAUUAGAUACCCGAGUAGUC